rnacentral:rRNA from 1 species
AUGGAUUCAGCAUACAAUGAUGGCGGCGAGUUAGUCUUCCACAAUUUCUCCCUGGCAGCCAAGUCGGUCAGCUGUUCCAAGCUGUUCAUCACAGCAUAUCACGCUGUUCACACCGAGGGAUCUGAGAUGUUUGGGUUGGUGUGCUUAUUGGGCUUCUUCCUUCUCUCCUAUGCUAUCACAACUCAUCUCAACAUGGAUCACAAAGCUUGGGCCCAGACAAGGAUUAUCGGCAUGGCAACCCUAAUGGCGUCCGGAGUUUUCUUGCUCUGUCGUGGCAUGGUUAUCCCAAAAGAUCAUGCUUGGCACACUAUUGCGGUUCAAAUCAUCAUCAUUCUUAUAGUCUUUCUCGAGGCAUGGGUGCUUCUACUUGCCCAGAUAAAGGAGAAUGGGGACACUCAACACUUGCUCCGCGAUCUGCUCAUGAAAUCGGUCGAGACAUCCAUCAGCAUCUACCGAUUGAACGAUUUCAUGCAACAAAAGCGCAACCCGUGGAAUGCAGAGAAGAUACUUCAUCUGGUGGGGAGUGGCAUGUCCGUGUUGAUCGGAGCGUACCAGAUCGGCUGGAUCAUAUACAAGGUGGGCAUCAAAUAUCAGGUGAUCGAAUGGCUCAGAAAGCUCCCUCAAGUUUACACCGGGAAAGAAGAGCAAGCCACUGGAGCUGCCAUCGAGGACGACAGAGAUGCAGACGUGGCUGAGAACGUGGUGGCGAAAGGAGGUGUUGAGAUAGUGUGA